AGAGGCACUGUGAAUGUAUAAAGAAAGGCGAUGCUAAGAAACGUGCUGCAGGGGAGGCUGGCACAUUCUGCUCCUUAGCUAACCGCACAGGCCCAUGGGUCCACACACAUCAGACCAUGGCUCUCUGUGGUCUAUCUUUGCCAUUACUUUAACCAGGCUGUUUCUCAUGCGCUCAUGGAGGGUGACUGAAGAUGCCACCCCGAGGUGCACCCUCAGCCUCGCUGGACACUUACGGCUCGCAUUCUCCAGCCGGACCAGGCAGUUGAGGAAGUCAUCGAAGUCCAGCUGGAGCUCCUCAUCCGCAUACCUGAGCACAAUCAGCUGCAGGAGGUGGCUGCUCAGCUGAAAGCCUGUGGGGACAAAGGAGGAGACCCAGGACUCGCUGUAUCCGAGCCCCGAGAUGAUGACGUGACCUUAGAAGAUGGCAGAGCCACACAAUAGAAGGCGUUUGGGUUCCUGAAUCACUGUAUGAACAGAGCCACCCACAGAAUAUGAACAUCCUCCCUGGACUGUCAUAAUGAGUGAGGAAAAAACUUUACUGUGUUUGAGCCUUUAUAUAUUUGGGGUCUAUUCACUACUGCAGCUAGUGUUACCUUGAGUCAUUGGUGCCUUGAAUUACAGAACUGCCACAACGAAAUUCUAAAAUAUGUUAGCAGUUGAGCAAGAGGGAUCAUGGAACUGUUCGAGCUGGAAAAUGGUUAUCUAUGUUAUGCAGUGGCAAAACAUUGGGUAAAUCUGUUGCAUGUUGUUAUGGACUGAAUGUUUGUGGUCUCCCCUAAAUUCAUAUGUUGAAUCCUAACCCUCGAAGUAGUAGUGUCAGGAGGUGGGGCCUUUGGGAGGUGACUAGGUUGUGAGGGUGGAGCCCUCAUGGAUGGGGUUAGUGCCAUUAUAAAAGAGGCCCCAGAGAGCUGCCUUGCCCUCUUUCUACCAUGUGAGGACAGAGUGAGAAGGAUCCAUCUAUAAAUCAGAAACAGGGCCCUCCACAGAUAUAGGUACUGCCUGUGUCAUCUUCUUGGACUUCCUGGUAUCUAGAACUGUGAGAAAUAAA
rnacentral:lncRNA from 1 species